GACAGAGGGUGCAAACGUUGUUCGGAAUUACUGGGCGUAAAGCGCGCGUAGGCGGCUUUGUAAGUUAGAAGUGAAAGCCCGGGGCUCAACCCCGGAAUUGCCUUUAAGACUGCAUCGCUUGAAUCCGGGAGAGGUGAGUGGAAUUCCGAGUGUAGAGGUGAAAUUCGUAGAUAUUCGGAAGAACACCAGUGGCGAAGGCGGCUCACUGGACCGGCAUUGACGCUGAGGUGCGAAAGCGUGGGGAGCAAACAGG
rnacentral:rRNA from 1 species